AACGAACGCUGGCGGCAGGCCUAAAACAUGCAAGUCGAACGCCCCGCAAGGGGAGUGGCGCACGGGUGAGUAACGCGUGGGAACGUGCCCUUCACUACGGGACAACGUCGGGAAACUGACGCUAAUACCGUAUAAUGACUCCGGUCCAAAGAUUUAUCGGUGAAGGAGCGGCCCGCGUCUGAUUAGCUAGUUGGUGAGGUAAAGGCUUACCAAGGCUACGAUCAGUAGCAGGUCCGAGAGGAUGAUCUGCCACACUGGGACUGAGACACGGCCCAGACUCCUACGGGAGGCAGCAGUUAGGAAUAUUGGACAAUGGGCGAAAGCCUGAUCCAGCCAUGCCGCGUGUGUGAUGAAGGCCCUAGGGUAGUAAAGCACUUUCGUUGGGGAUGAUAAUGACCGUACCCAAAGAAGAAGCACCGGCUAACUUCGUGCCAGCCGCCGCCGUAA
rnacentral:rRNA from 1 species